AAUAUAAUUCUAAAUAGUAUCCUUUCAAUUUUAAAUGAAGAUCAUAGAUACAAUCCUAAAUGUACAGCUAAGAAAAGUAUGGAUAAAUUAAUUUAUUUUAUAUAUGAACUUACUUAUUUUAGAAUGAACAAAAAAUAGCCAUAAGUAUAUAUUUCUUUAUAAUGAAGUAUGGAAUUUUUUUUUUUCUCAAUAAAUUUGUAUUCUGAAAAGGGUUAGUUUAGUUGAUUUAUAAACAUUGAAUAAUGUCAGUACUCUUACAAAGGAAGGAUAUAUUUUAUCAGCAUAAUUCUAAAUAGUAUCCUUUCAAUUUUAAAUGAGUAUCAUAGAUACAAUCCUAAAUGUACAGCUAAGAAAAGUAUGGGUAAAUUAAUUUAUUUUAUAUAUGAACUUACUUCGGCUUUUAAGUAAUACAAUUUUCAUGACAAAAAAAGUAAUAUCAAAUUUUAUAAUCGUCAAUUAAUUAUGAAAAUUCUANUCCUGAGUUAGAA